CCUACGGGUGGCAGCAGUGAGGAAUAUUGGUCAAUGGACGCAAGCCUGAACCAGCCAAGUCGCGUGAGGGAUGACGGUCCUAUGGAUUGUAAACCUCUUUUGUCGGGGAGCAAGGCCCGCCACGUGUGGCGGGAAGGAGAGUACCCGAAGAAAAAGCAUCGGCUAACUCCGUGCCAGCAGCCGCGGUAAUACGGAGGAUGCGAGCGUUAUCCGGAUUUAUUGGGUUGAAAGGGUGCGUAGGCGGAAGGUUAAGUCAGCGGUAAAAUGUCGGUGCUCAACACCGGCCUGCCGUUGAAACUGGUCUUCUUGAGUGAGCGAGAAGUAUGCGGAAUGCGUGGUGUAGCGGUGAAAUGCAUAGAUAUCACGCAGAACUCCGAUUGCGAAGGCAGCAUACCGGCGCUCAACUGACGCUGAGGCACGAAAGCGUGGGGAUCGAACAGGAUUAGAUACCCCAGUAGUC
rnacentral:rRNA from 1 species